rnacentral:lncRNA from 1 species
CCGCGGCUCGAGGCCGCGUUCGCCGCGGAGCGGGCGUCUGGUGCGCGGCCUGUGGCGACCCUCGAGCUGCCCGGGCUGAGGCAGCUGGAGGCCUGGCGGUUGCCUCCCGCCCGCGGCUCCGCGUACCAGCCGCUCGGCGUCGGGCCUCGCGGUUCUGUUUGGCGCCGGGAAGCGGUAGAGCAGCACGAGCCCGGCUUCCGCGCUGAGGGGACGCGGGAGGCCGGCGGUCCGCUCCCGGGCCGCAUUUCCCGGAGGGCUCUGCGGGCGGACGCUGCGCUCCUCGGGUUCGGCCGCUUUGCGGGAAGGCGGCACCUUAGCUGCUGCGGGGCCUUUGGAGUCUGGUGCAACUUGGCCCGUUUGGACCAGACCGGAACCUGGGAAGGACUGGGGUGAGGGGUUCAGCCCUAGCCGUGGGAUAAUGGGACGGUCUCACUGAAUGAAGGUUUGUUUGCAGCAACAGGAAUAUUCAAGAUGAAGGGAUUGGUGAUGUUCAGGGAUGUGGCUGGUAGACUUCUCUCAGGGGAAGUGGGAAUGCCUGGACCCUGCUCAGAGGGAUUUACACAAAGAUGUGAUGGAGAACUAUAGCAACCUAAUCUUACUGGUUAGGAGCCCUGGAUGGUUUUGAGGAACAUGGGAGGAUGGUGUCCAGGUUUGGAGGCCAGGUGUGAUACAAAGACAUUAUCUCCAGAAGAGAACAUUUUUGAAAUAAACUUAUACAAACAGAAGAUAAAGAAGUAAAAUGCCUGAUAUUGAAGGUUCCAUUAUCUAAAGUAGCAGAAGAACAAAAUCAAGAUUGAGAAACAAGAGCCUCAAGAAGAUUUCAGCCAAUUGAAAAUCAUCCAUGAAUAUAUAUCUACUCACAGAAAUAUUAUGAAUGUAAGGAAUGUAGAAAUAUCUUUAAUUAGGGCUCAGACCUAAUCAAACAUUAGAGAAUUCACACUGGUGAGAAGACUUAUACAUCUAAGGAAUGUGGGAAGGCCUUUAGGCUUCAGGGACAACUCAACAUCUGAAAAUUUAUAAAUAUCUAGAAUGUGGGAAGGCUUUCAGUUUUGGCAGAGAUCUUAGAAUACUGGUGAGAAAUCCUAUGAAUGAAAGACUUUUAGUUUGGGCAGGUAUGUAAGAGUCCACCAAAAAAAUACUGGCAAAAAACCCUAUGAGUGUAAGGAAUGUUGGAAGGCCUUUAGAAUACAUUAGCAUCUUACUCAACAUCAAAAACUCAUAGAACUGUGAAACCCUAUAAAAGUAAAGAAUGUAGGAAAGCUUUUAGUUUUGUCAAAGACCUUAAAAUAUACCAGAAUACUCAUUUUGGUGGGAAACCCUAUAAAUGUCAGGACUGUGGGAAGACCUUCAGUUCUUUGAGAUACUUUAGAGUAUACCAGAAAAUUCGUAUUUAUGAAAAGCCCUAUGAAUGUAAGGAAUGUGAAAAAUCAUUUAUAUUGCAUGAACAGCUUAGUUGACAUAAAAAAUUCAUAAAGAUGAGAAAUCUUAUGAAUGUAAGGAAUGUAGAAAAGCCUUUAGAUUGCAUUCACACCUUAAAAGUCAUCACAGUAUUCAUACUGGUAAGAAGCCCUAGGAAUGUAAGAAAUGUGGCAGGCCUUUAGACAGAAUUCAACUUAACCAACAUCAGAGCAUACACACUAAAGAGAAACCCUACAAAUAAAUGUAAGGAAUGUGAGAAUGCCUGUAGAUGGAGUUCAACAUUUAAUCAACAUCAAAAAUGCAUACUAAGGAGAAAUUCUGAAUUGAAAGUAUAUGGAAAGGCCUUUCAAUUUCAUCAAAUUCUUACAGAGCAUCAGAUAUUUCACAAUGCUAAGAAACCAGUCCUAUGAAGUGAGGAGUGAUGUGAGAAGGCCUUUAGAUAAAAUGAACAUCAGUGAAUAUAAAGAGAAACUCUGAAUGUAAAGAAUGUGGGCAUGCCUUUAGAUUUUGUUUAUACCUUAUUGAGCAUCAGAGAAUUUAUAAUGGUGAAAAACUCUCAAAAGGUAAGAAAUGUAUGAAGCCCAAUAUUCUGCCACUAUCAAAUCUGAGAACUCAUAGCCUUACGGAGUUAUUAUAAAAGUGUUUUUUUUUUUUAAUUUUUAUUUAUUUGUGAUAGUCACAGAGAGAGAGAGAGAGAGAGAGAGAGAGAGAGAGAGAGGCACAGGCACAGGCAGAGGGAGAAGCAGGCUCCAUGCACCGGGAGCCCGACGUGGGAUUCGAUCCCAGGUCUCCAGGAUCGCGCCCUGGGCCAAAGGCAGGCACCAAACCGCUGUGCCACCCAGGGAUCCCUAAAAGUGUUUUAAAAAAACAGUACUUUUUCUUUUACUCCACUCUUCAUAGAAUAUCAAUACUAGGGGAAAAUGUUUAGGAAACCCUUUUCUGGGGGGGUCAUUCUUACAACUUAUUUGGCAUAAAAGAUUUCAUACCAGGUGUCUUAAUCUAUUGAAUAUAUAAGACUUCUAAAAUCACUCAGUUCCUGUUGAAUGUUAGCAGAUUCACACAGAAUUUCUUACUCUAUUGGUUGUACAACUGAAGGAAAGCCUUUAGUCACAGCACAUACUUAGCCUAUCAUCAUCUUCAAGAUAUUCAACAAUAUACUUAUUAGCUUUGUGCCUCAGUUGUAAAAUGGUGAAGUUAAUACCUAUCUAACAGUGUUUUUGUAAGGAUUAAUACUUGUAAACCCUUGGGUUUUUUUUUUUUUUAAGAUUUUAUUUAUUUAUUCAACACAAAGAAAGAGGCAGAGACAUAGGGAGAGGCAGGUUCCCUGUGAGGAGCCCGAUUCAGGACUUGAUCCCAGGACCACAGGAUCACGACCUGAGCCAAAGGCAGAUGCCCAACCACUGAGUUACCCAGGUGCCCCUACCUGUAAACCCUUGCAAGAUUAUUUGGCAACUAAAGAUUAGCUACUGUUCUUCUAGUGAUAAUAGUAUAACUGUUAGUGAAUUCUUAUGAAAGAAUCUAUAUUGGUAGUCAACUUAGCAUCCAAUCACCACCCAUCUACUAUUGAACUUCACAUAGCUGAUUCUGAAUAAAUUAUCAUAGAAUAUAAGGAAUAUGGGGGUGCCUGGCUGGCUCAGUCAGGAGAGAACACAGCUCUUGAUCUUGGGGUCAUGAAUUCAAGCCCCACAUUGGGUGUAGAGAUUACCAAAUAAACCAAAAAAA